UUGAGGCCUUAAAGUACUGUACCAGCACAUCAUGGUUUACAUACUACAGUAAAGAUGCGAAUCAUUAUUUGCUGCUCUAGAAAUUUAAGGAAAUUCAU
rnacentral:pre_miRNA from 1 species